GACGAACGCUGGCGGCGUGCUUAACACAUGCAAGUCGAACGAAGUGGUGAACGGGUGAGUAACGCGUAAUCAACCUGCCCUUCAGAGGGGGACAACAGUUGGUAAAGACUGCUAAUACCGCAUACUGCAGGCGGGGUUUGCGUGUUGUUAGCUAGUGGGAGGGGUAAGGGCCCAGCAAGGCGAUGAUCAGUAGCCGGUCUGAGAGGAUGAACGGCCACAGUGGGACUGAGACACGGCCCAGACUCCUACGGGAGGCAGCAGUGGGGAAUCUUCCGCAAUGGACGAAAGUCUGACGGAGCAACGCCGCGUGAGUGAUGACGGCCGUCGGGUUGUAAAGCUCUGUUAAUCGGGACGCGGUACCGGAAUAGAAAGCCACGGCUAACUACGUGCCAGCAGCCGCGGUAAUUC
rnacentral:rRNA from 1 species